rnacentral:rRNA from 1 species
AUUGAACGCUGGCGGCAGGCUUAACACAUGCAAGUCGAGCGGGGUGAUGGUGCUUGCACUAUCACUUAGCGGCGGACGGGUGAGUAAUGCUUAGGAAUCUGCCUAUUAGUGGGGGACAACAUCUCGAAAGGGAUGCUAAUACCGCAUACGUCCUACGGGAGAAAGCAGGGGAUCACUUGUGACCUUGCGCUAAUAGAUGAGCCUAGGUCGGAUUAGCUAGUUGGUGGGGUAAAGGCCUACCAAGGCGACGAUCUGUAGCGGGUCUGAGAGGAUGAUCCGCCACACUGGGACUGAGACACGGCCCAGAGUCCUACGGGAGGCAGCAGUGGGGAAUAUUGGACAAUGGGGGGAACCCUGAUCCAGCCAUGCCGCGUGUGUGAAGAAGGCCUUAUGGUUAUAAAGCACUUUAAGCGAGGAGGAGGCUCUUUUGGUUAAUACCCAAGAUGAGUGGACGUUACUCGCAGAAUAAGCACCGGCUAACUCUGUGCCAGCCGCCGCCGUAA